rnacentral:rRNA from 1 species
UGGGGAAUAUUGCUCAAUGGGCGCAAGCCUGAUGCAGCAACGCCGCGUGAACGAUGAAGGUCUUCGGAUCGUAAAGUUCUGUUGCAGGGGAAGAUAAUGACGGUACCCUGUGAGGAAGCCCCGGCUAACUACGUGCCAGCAGCCGCGGUAAUACGUAGGGGGCUAGCGUUAUCCGGAUUUACUGGGCGUAAAGGGUGCGUAGGUGGUCUUUCAAGUCGGUGGUUAAAGGCUACGGCUCAACCGUAGUUAGCCUCCGAAACUGGAAGACUUGAGUGCAGGAGAGGAAAGUGGAAUUCCCAGUGUAGCGGUGAAAUGCGUAGAUAUUGGGAGGAACACCAGUAGCGAAGGCGGCUUUCUGGACUGCAACUGACACUGAGGCACGAAAGCGUGGGUAGCAAACAGG